AUUGACUGAAACUAUUCAACGACAGGGUUGUGUUAUCCAAGGGUUCAUCUCCUAAAACCGUAUAGCCCAAUAAGAUUUACAUCUCUGUUUGCCUUUUCUUAUUUUACGUUCUCUCAUAUCAAAUUGAACAGAUUGAUUCCUUCAUAUGAAGCUUUCGGUGAGAACGUAAAACCCAUUUGCUGCAGCGUUUUGAUGUCUUUAUCAGAGCUAAGUAUGACAGACGUACGGAUCAUGACUGUAAAAGUUUUCUUUGUAUGUUUAAUCCUAUGGUUUUUAAUAGGAGUUCGUUUAGUCUCCCUGACAACCAGACAAAUGAUUUUUAAAAAGCAAACACAACAACGGAUCUGAUGGACGGUACAUGUUCACUACAACUUAGCACUAGAAAGGUUUACUGUGUUCUGUUUACCCGUUUUAGUACAAAGAGUAGAUAGAAUAUUUCAUUAUGGUUUGAAUUCCCCAUCACUUUUCACUGUAUGCUUAUCCGAAUUUGAGCCAUGGAUUUUGUACCUUUUCUAAUUAUUACGGACAUUGUCCUUUUCAGAGUUACCCGUCUUUUGAUUUGGGUAAUAAUGAUCAUGUAACAACCAACCUGAAAGAAUGUUCUCCAUCUGAGCCUCACAUGGGAUUUACAGUUGAAGGUUUAGGUCAAAAUAAACUCUAAGAGUCUGCCUAAUUCUCAACAGCCAUCAGACAGAAAAGUCAACGAUGGGCUUGCCUUGAAACAGUUCCACGGGAGGGAAAAGGAUAAGAUGGAAUCCCAUGCAACACUGUUACUAACACUCCCGUAUUUAUAAACAUAAGGAUAUGUUAAGAGAUUUUUAUGCUUUCCACAAACUAAGCUUGACUCUACUCUUCUGAUAGGAACAUGAGAAACUUCAUUAAGCAACUGCAUGCAUAUUCAGGGGAGAGCCAACUGAAAGGUAAUUAUCUGGUUUUUCAUUGUCAGCUGAAACAAAUAAUCAACCCAGUGAGAAGCUUUAGGUAUGUAAGUUUAACAUAGAAGGGAGUUGUCUCUUUCUUUGGGAGGGUAUGCUUGAUUUGUUCGACUGCUAUUAGAUCGUCGUGAUAUGAUCAUAUUUUGUUGCUUUUUGUAACUGAUAUUCAUUUAAGUAUAAUCAUAAGCGAGUUUACAAUUCAACAAAAGAAGUUUGG